AGACGCAGCAAGGCGGCUGCUCAUGGGCAUCAGGCCCAUGGGAGGAAAGUCCGAGCACGAAAGGACACGAUGGUGGGUAACGCCCACCCGCCCCAACACACCCGCGAGGGUCCGGCUGGGGGCGAGGGACAGUGCCACAGAGAACAUACCGCCGAUGGAUCGGUCCGCCGAUCACAGGUAAGGGUGAAAAGGUGCGGUAAGAGCGCACCGCCCGUCUGGCGACAGACGGGGCACGGUAAACCCCAUCGCGUGCAAGCCCAAGCAGAGCUCGUGUGGUCCGCACGAUGAGCUCGGGUCGGGUGCUGGGAGCACUCGCUCCUCACCACGCCGGCAACGGCGUGGGCAGAGAAAUAGUCGCCCAGAGGCGCAGGUCCGCUCGCGAGCCCCCGUCAUAAGGAGGCGAUCGGAAACCACGCCUCGGACAGAACUCGGCUUACCAGCUGCGUCCAGCC
rnacentral:RNase_P_RNA from 1 species